rnacentral:rRNA from 1 species
GACGAACGCUGGCGGCGUGCUUAACACAUGCAAGUCGAACGGAAAGGUCCUGCUUUUGUGGGGCUCUCGAUUGGCGAACGGGGGUGUAACACGCGAGUAACCUGUCCCUGACUGUGGGGUAACUUCAGGAAACUGGGGCGAAUAUCGCGUAGGAUCUCCUGCAGCACGGGGGGGGUUGGAAAGAGUCGGCGGUUGUGGCUGGAUUCGCGGCUUAUGAGCUUGAUGGUGGGGUAGUGGCUUUCCAAGGCUUUGACGGGUAGCCGGCCUGGGAGGGUGACCGGCCACCUUGGGACUGCGAUACGGCCCAGACUCCUACGGGCGGCAGCAGUGGGGAAUCUUGCGCAAUGGGCGGAAGCCUGAUGCGGCAGCGCCGCGUGCGGGAUGCCGGCCUUCGGGUUGUAAACCGCUUUCGCCUGUGACGAAGCGUGAGUGACGGUAAUGGGUCAAAAAGCACCGGCUAACUACGUG